rnacentral:rRNA from 1 species
GGGCGUAAAGGGCUCGUAGGUGGUUGAUCGCGUCGGAAGUGUAAUCUUGGGGCUUAACCCUGAGCGUGCUUUCGAUACGGGUUGACUUGAGGAAGGUAGGGGAGAAUGGAAUUCCUGGUGGAGCGGUGGAAUGCGCAGAUAUCAGGAGGAACACCAGUGGCGAAGGCGGUUCUCUGGGCCUUUCCUGACGCUGAGGAGCGAAAGCGUGGGGAGCAAACAGGCUUAGAUACCCUGGUAGUCCACGCUGUAAACGGUGGGUACUAGGUGUGGGGUCCAUUCCACGGGUUCCGUGCCGUAGCUAACGCUUUAAGUACCCCGCCUGGGGAGUACGGCCGCAAGGCUAAAACUCAAAGGAAUUGACGGGGCCCCGCACAAGCGGCGGAGCAUGCGGAUUAAUUCGAUGCAACGUGUAGAACCUUACCUGGGUUUGACAUGGAUCGGGAGUGCUCAGAGAUGGGUGUGCCUCUUUUGGGGUCGGUUCACAGGUGGUGCAUGGCUGUCGUCAGCUCGUGUCGUGAGAUGUUGGGUUAAGUCCCGCAACGAGCGCAACCCUUGUUCACUGUUGCCAGCACGUUAUGGUGGGGACUCAGUGGAGACCGCCGGGGUCAACUCGGAGGAAGGU